UCUACGUCGGCGACCGGCGCACGGGUGCGUAACGCGUAUGCAACCUACCCAUUACAGGGGGAUAACACUGAGAAAUCGGUACUAAUACCCCAUAACAUCCAGGGAGGCAUCUUCUUGGGUUGAAAACUCCGGUGGUAAUGGAUGGGCAUGCGUUGUAUUAGUUAGUUGGUGGGGUAACGGCUCACCAAGACAACGAUACAUAGGGGGACUGAGAGGUUAACCCCUCACAUUGGUACUGAGACACGGCCCAAACUCCUACGGAAGGCAGCAG
rnacentral:rRNA from 1 species